rnacentral:rRNA from 1 species
CGCAAGCCUGACGGAGCAGGACCGCGUGCGGGAUGACGGCCUAAUGGUUGUAAACCGCUUUUCUCUGGGAAGAUGAUGACGGUACCAGAGGAAUCAGCCUCGGCUAACUCCGUGCCAGCAGCCGCGGUAAUACGGAGGAGGCAAGCGUUAUCCGGAAUUAUUGGGCGUAAAGCGUCCGUAGGUGGUUAUUCAAGUCUGCUGUCAAAGCGUGGGGCUUAACUCCAUAGAGGCAGUGGAAACUGGAUGACUUGAGUGCGGUAGGGGUCGAGGGAAUUCCCAGUGUAGCGGUGAAAUGCGUAGAUAUUGGGAAGAACACCAGUGGCGAAAGCGCUCGACUGGGCCUGCACUGACACUGAGGGACGAAAGCUAGGGGAGCG